CUAGACUCAGAAUUCCUGAACCGUGUACCUAUGGAGGGGCACGUGAUGCAAAAGAAGUCGAAAACUUCUUGUUUGAUAUGGAACAGUACUUUCUAGCAGCUUCGAUCGAAGAUGAAGCUAGAAAGGUAACCACAGCCACCAUGUAUUUGGGUGGAGACGCAAAAUUAUGGUGGCGAACCAAAUAUGCGGACAUUCAGGUCCACAGGAUUCGAAUUGAUUCUUGGGAUCUCCUCAAGGAAGCGAUCAGAUCGCAGUUUUUCCCGGAAAAUGUCGAGUAUCAGGCUCGACGGGCUCUUCGAGACCUGAAACACACGAGCUCUAUCAGGGAGUAUGUGAAAUCCUUUUCAGGGCAUAUGCUGAAUAUUCGAGAUAUGUUAAAAAAGGACAAGCUUUUCACCUUUAUGGAAGGGUUGAAACCGUGGACACGCACGGAACUUCAAAGACAGAAGGUUACUGAUUUAAGCACGGCCAUGGGAGCCGCUGAAUGCUUGAGCGACUACCAAACAGAAUCUAGAAAAGAUCGACCUUCGGGGAGUAAUCAAGCAAUUGGAGGUGGUAAC
rnacentral:lncRNA from 1 species